GGAAAUGACUAAGUGUAAACGAAUAUGACAUGUGAUGAAUAAGUGCAGUGUCAUAGAUGCUAGCUCGAGUUGGAGGUCGUUGGAGAUUCUAUCACAUUAACAAGUUAUUGAUUGGUAUUGUAUCAACGAUCUUCAAGUAUUUUUAAGUCUAUGGCAUGUAUAGGGAUUUGAUUAUGUGUGUAGAUGUUAUUAUGAGUUAGCCUAAAAUGUUGGCCUAUAAUAUUUGAUAGUUCAUUUUGUAUAAGGCCAUUGAGGUUGGCUAAUAUUAGUUAAGUUAUAUGUUUAUGAUGUUGUAUUUUGUGGAUGUACAAGCUUGCAUGACUUGGUUGAAUGAGUAUGUAUUGGGCCUCGUAGGCCCUAUUUAGGGACUCAAAGAUAAAAAUUUGAAAAGUUUUAAUUUG